rnacentral:rRNA from 1 species
UACGUAGGGGGCUAGCGUUGUCCGGAUUUAUUGGGCGUAAAGAGCGUGUAGGCGGCCAGAUAGGUCUGCUGUGAAAACUCGAGGCUCAACCUCGAGAUGUCGGCGGAAACCAUUUGGCUUAGAGUCCGGAAGAGGAAAAGUGGAAUUCCUGGUGUAGCGGUGAAAUGCGUAGAUAAUUGGGAAGAACACCAGCGGCGAAAGGCGCGCUACUGGGCCAUUACUGACACUCAUGGACGAAAGCUAGGGGAGCGAAAGGG